rnacentral:rRNA from 1 species
UACGUAGGGUGCAAGCGUUAAUCGGAAUUACUGGGCGUAAAGCGUGCGCAGGCGGUUUUGUAAGUCUGUCGUGAAAGCCCCGGGCUCAACCUGGGAAUUGCGAUGGAGACUGCAAGGCUUGAAUCGGGCAGAGGGGGGUAGGAAUUCCACGUGUAGCAGUGAAAUGCGUAGAGAUGUGGAGGAACACCGAUGGCGAAGGCAGCCCCCUGGGUCAAGAUUGACGCUCAUGCACGAAAGCGUGGGGAGCAAACAGG